rnacentral:rRNA from 1 species
AUUGAACGCUGGCGGCAGGCUUAACCCAUGCAAGUCGAACGAGUGGCGGACGGGUGAGUAAUGCUUGGGAAUCUAGCUUAUGGAGGGGGAUAACUCAGGGAAACUGUAGCUAAUACCGCGUACCAUAGGAUGAGCCCAAGUGGGAGUAGUGAGUUGGUUAGGUAAAGGCUCACCAAGCCGACGAUCUCUAGCUGGUCUGAGAGGAUGACCAGCCACACUGGGACUGAGAAACGGCCCAGACUCCUACGGUAGGAAGCAGGGGGGAAUAAUGCGAGAUGGGGGCAACCUGACGCAGCCAUGCCGCGUGAAUGAAGAAGGCCUUCGGGGUGUAAAGUUCUUUCGGUAGCGAGGCGUUAACUACAGAAGAAGCACCGGCUAACUCCGUGCCAGCAGCCGCGGUAAUAC